GGUGCUGUCUGUAUGGAGUUUGAUAUGGUUUGUAGGUAUAAAUGUAAAAAUUUCCCAGUGUGUGUGUACGAGUGUUAAUUUGGGGGGAUCGUUGUUUGGAGCGGACUCAGUGGGCCAAGGGGCCGGUUUCCG